UAAAUGGAUGAGAAAACUUUUUUUUUUUUUUUUGGUAAGGUGUGGUAAAUUAAUGAUGUCAGUUUCCUCCCAUCAAACCUGAAAUUCUCAACAACAACAAAAAAAAAAAAAAAGAAAAAAAAAUACUCUCAGGUGUCACAUGCCUAAUUGUUCUCUUUUGGGACUGCUGACUACCAAUACUUGAAUUCCAGUUGUUAUCAAUAUUCCUAUUUUGAUUUAGUCUGACUCAGGAUUUGGAGCCUGAUUAACUUCUUAAAUUUUUGAAAAUUUUAAUAACCAACUUCUUGAGGCUCCAAGUGCAAUUAAUGAUAAUGUCUUUAUACCUUUUCACAAAAUUUAAUAAAGCACCCAUCUGUUUGCGUCUCUUCGCUUCCCCUUUUUGUGCCCUGGUGGCUUCUCAAAUCUUGCCUGGAUGACUUAUGACCACAACUAAUACAAUGUGGAAUAUUCCGGAAACAGAGAGCCCCAGGUGAGACAGACAUCUUCUCUUCAGGGACCUGCAAAGUUUGACUUGUGAGCUUCAUCCAUAACGAUUCUCAGAAAUUUCGACAAGCUAAGUAGAAUUCAUUGACAGUCUCCCACUUGAGGAAAUUGAGGAUAGACUAAGGGACCCGGGUUUAACUAGCCAGUGUCUGAACCACACAGAAGAGAAGCCACGCCUCCUGGUUUACUCUUAGGAACACCCAGAUAUUCCUGGAAAUGGUUUGCCCAUCACCAGGCUUUAGGAAGCACCACCAUUCUCUUAGGCCUUCCUUAUAAUCUAAAUAUCGGGGGCCAGGGUGUAACUCGAUUGUAGAGUUCUUGCCUAACAUUCAGGAGGCCCUGGGACUGAUCCAUAACCCUGCAAAAAAGGAAAUAAUCCAGCUAUUGCCUGUGUCCCUGGAAUCCAGUAAAUACAGGCAGGCGGGAGGAGUGGAAUCGCAGGCUCCUAUUUGUACAGAGGUGUGAUCAUAAAUGUCCCUUUUUGUCUUGCUCUCAUUGCUGAAUGAAGGGGACAUGUAUGCCGACAGCUGGUGAGGUCAGUAGGUCAUCAAAGUGGCAGAAAGAGAAAUCUGUCACCCUUACACCUCACUGCCUUUAAACCCACAAGGAAGGGAAGCAGAUAGAGCAAUGCAGGUGGCUGGGGAGCUCCAGAGCCCAUGUCCUAGCUGUCCCUUCCUGACUCGUGACCUUCAACCUCAGGAAAGGAAAUGCCCCCCCCCCCCCCAAUCCAGAUCCCAAAGGAAGCAAAACAGACCAGGGAGUAUAUUCUCCUUCCCUGACACCUCCCAGCCGGUGGACCCUGCCUGCACCCUCUCUUCAGUCUCCACAUUCUGCAACAUCUCUGGGGUUCACGCCCUCUCCCAUGGCCCAGAUGCUGGCCCCUCAAGCCUAGCACCAAAGUGUUUAGAGUGUCUAGAUCAUUUCUUGUCUAUAGAUGGACAUUGCGCCCCAGUACUCAAAGGAAAGCAAUUACAAGUAGAUUACCAUAACAGCGCAUCUUUUCCUUAAGGUGACAGUACCAUAGUAGGGUACCCUUCUUUGCAUGGUAUGGAAGCAUGAAUCUUGCUUGUGGGAAAACCGUAAUCUUUUCUCAAACCCUUUGAACUCCUCAGUGGUUCCCUCCCCCAUGCAGCUGUACUCAGUGAGAAUGUCUGGCUUUCAAAAGCAAAAUUCCACUUUCAGAGGACGCGGAAUUCGCGUCUGUACCUGCUUACCAUUUGCAAGCUGAUGCGGGCUGGGGUGGGCUCCUCGGUUUUCGUGUAGUACAAGUUGAUUUUGCGCAGGUGGCUAGCCCAUCUGGCACCUAGUUUUUCCAGUAACACCACGCCACUCUUCCUUUCUAUAGCCGCUUCCAUUGUCAAGGUCAACAAUCUGGUUCACUUUCAAAAGGCUACGUUCUCAUUCCCUUCCUGUGAGUUCUCUCUCCUUUGUAGUCAGCCCGGGACUUUUGACACCAACUGCAGCGCUAACCUAUGAUAAUGUGAUUCUUAACCAACGCCUAUGUGUUCAGUUUUUCUGUCUACAUGUGGUUUGCCUGUGUUACAAAUAGGGAAGGGGUGGGAUUCUGGAUAUAUUUCAUUAGCUGCUUUGAAUAUUUAAUCCAGUCAUCACAAAGCAUAAAUGACUUCGAUAUUUUCUGAACCUUGAUUUCCAAGUGUCGUUUCGCUUUGUCCUUAUGUGAAUCUGCUAUUGCGGGAUCCAAGCAUUUGAGGAAUAUGUAUAUAGAACAUGAGUAAUUCUUGUGAGGAUGGAAACAAAAUGGAUGCAUGACGGAAAUUUAGGAAGAAAAAAAAAAAAGCAGAACUUGAAUUGCUAAGCAUGUUUGAGGGGGAAAUAGAAUCCUUAACUCAGUGCCUAUGUCUGCCAUGUGAAAUCCUUCAGCUUUGUGCACCAAAACUGUAUCAUACCUGUACAUAUAUAUACAUGUAUAAAAGGCAGUAUAGCAAGUCACACACCACCAGUCCUAAAUCUCUGGUGGUCAAACUGAAAUAGUUGCCCAUAGGAUAACACAUAUGUUUACCCCUCUUCAUAUCUGAUGGUGGCAGAUGCCACUAAAAUGGCCACAUGUGUCUUGACUCCAGGUGGCUUCCGAAUAGGAAAUAUCCCUGCGAUCUUGGUGUGGCAUGGCAGCAGCAUCUCUCUCUCUGCGCUUUCCUGGGUCAAGGUUUUGUGGUGUUUUUAUUGUAUAAAGUUUGUCUGAAACCGCCCCCAAGGAGGGUUUCCUUUUAUGCUGUAGUAAGAGAAAGCAAAGGAAAAAGAAACUGUGACAUUUUUUGUUGUCAGUUUGUUGGUGGACCCUGUUACCAUGGCUUCACAUCUAAGUGGGGACUAUUUUAACUUAUUUACAGGUAUAUGGUGUGGAAAUAAGUUAGCUCAAUUGUGGAUAUAAUGAACAUCCACACACAGACACAUACACACACACAUACAAAUAAAUAAAAAUUUAAAAGUAAAAUACACAACCUCAUGCUAAAACUAGUCAUGUGGUUUUUCUUUCAUGGCUCAUAACAAACUUUAAGAGGCAUUUUGAUAAGAACUCUCUUCAGUGCUCUGAGACAACAGGGUAACAGGACACCAGCUGGCUUAGAUCGAUGGGAACUUUGCUUUUGAAAAGGGCCAGCAUAUAGUUAAUUGAUUAUACUUUUGAUCUAUAAGCAAAUAAUCCAAUGGAGAGUGACUCUCUAAAUAGUUUCCAAACUUUUCUGGUCACCUGACUAGUAGGCUAGAUGACAUUCUGCCAUCUAAGCCAUAGCUGUAAAAAAAUAAAAUAAAAAUAUAAAUCC
rnacentral:lncRNA from 1 species